rnacentral:lncRNA from 1 species
AAAUUUACAACAACUUAUUGCUGCUUUUAAUCUUAUAAAAAAUAAACACACCGUUACAUUUUAAACCCCAUAUAAACCCCUUAGGUGGGGUAUUUGAAUCCUUACCUGCCCUAGUGACCUAUUUAAGUCUUGCAGGUCGUAAAGAGAACUCCCUUUACGUGAAAAAUAUUACUCAGAUAUUCAAGUCCUUCCACUUGGAUGCUUGGUCUUUCGAAAUAUACAAAAAAACUGAAAAAAAGGUAGUAAACAAAAUAAAUUACCCUACGUAAAAGUAUUAUUUAUCAUAUAUGUUCUAAUUAGCCGCUUUCGUAACCUAUUUUUAGCAACAACAAAAAAUCAAUUAAAACAGUUCUUAUUUUUUAUAAAAGUUUUUAUUCAUCUUUUAAAAUUUAAAUUUAAAUUUAUGUCUAAUUAUUAUAAUACAUAUAUAAUAAAUAAGCUUUUCCUCGUAUUAUUCCACCAGCAACCAGACAUCAGAGUAUUACAAAACUACAACAAUGCCUUCAACAUAGUGAAGAGUUGAACUAAAAUCAGAAAUCUGAUCUUUAGCAAUAAGAGAAAUGCUAUGGCUUUUAUAAAUCCAGUAUUCGUAGAAUACAGAGGAAUCCCACAUAGAAUUUUUUAUAUAGGUAUCAAAACCUCAUAGUGUUUACAUUUCUAAUCUAAACCUUUCAAAUUUAAAUCAUGAAUACUUUCUAGAACUUCAGUGGAUAAGCUCUGAAGAUACGAGUGAAGAUGUAGACAGCCUAAAUUAUUAGUGCCGAUUAUUGAGCAUCAAUGAACACCUUAUACAAGUAUAGAAAUCAGUUCUCAGAGUUCUCAGAGCAUCAAUGUAACAGCCCCUACAUCGCCUGGUUAGACUCAUAAGAUGCAAAUAAUAGCUCGCAGAUAAACAACUAAAAAUGCAUCUAUUUUGAAAUGAAGGUAUGUAAUGUAAGCAUAGAUUUGCAAAUGCAUAUACCAAGUAUCAUUAUCUUUUGCUUCACUAUUAUCUUUAUAGAAAUAACAAUUCACAGCAGUGAUCUACUAUGCACAAAACAAGAAUGACCCCAUGCUAGAAUGUAUGUAUUGACUACUGAGGUUGAAAGGUGUUGAGAGCUAUAGUGUCCUGAUGUAGCUCAAGUAAUAACUAAACAUGGUCCUUUGCCAUCGAUGGAUUCCUUCACGGGAUGGAAAAUAUAUAGUGUGGAAGACAACCGAACAAGUGCUUCCGAAUCUUUUAUUUCAAGACAGGUAACAGUCCAUACCAUCAUAUCAAUAUUCAGAGGUACAUAUCCAUUGAAAGUAUUUCAAAAGCGUAAAUUAAGUGUUAUUAUCAUUUGCUUCACUAUCUCUUUUAAAAGAAUAAUAUAUUUUCACAGCAGAAGUAUAUUCAUAGCCGUAAUACUUGAAUGUAUAGGACUACUUAAGAGGUGUUGAGAGAUGUAGUGUCCAGAUGUAGCUCAAAUAACAACUUUAGACUGGUACUGGGCAACGAUGGACUCCAUCAAGGGAUGGCUAAUAGAUAGAUUGGAAACCCAAACUAUCAACUCCUUCCCUAUCUUUUAUUUUCCAGACAUGUAACAGUCACUACCAUCAAAUCUAAGGUAGACACCUGACUACGUCUGGUUAGGCUCAUGGGACACAAACAACUAUUAAUAGUUUCCAGAUAAACACCAAAAAUGCAUCUAUAUUCAAAAGAUACAAAAGCACAGAAAGUAUUUCCAAAUGCAUAUAUUAAGUGUUAUUAUCAUUUGCUUCACUACCCCUUUAGAAAACAAACAGAUUUGCAACACGUGAUCCACUAUAUCCAAAAUAAGGAUGGCCUUCAUGCUUGGAUGUAUAGAUUGAAUACUGAUAGAAAGAGGUUUCGAGAGAUGUAGUGCCCAGAUGUAACUUGAGUAAUAACUAAACACAUAGUACUGGCCAACGAUGGACUCGUUCAAGGGGAUGGCUAAUAGAUAGAUUGGAAACCCAAACCAUCAACUACUUUCCUAUCUUUUAUUUUCCAGACAUGUAACAGUCCCUACAAUCAUAUUCCAAGGUAGACACCUAACUACUCGUGGAACGUAAACAACUAAAUAUUAAAUAAUAGUUCAUAAACAAACAACUAAAAAUGUAUCAAUAUUCAAAAUAAGUUAAUAUAAGAAUUGAAGCAUUUAAGUGUUACUAUCAUUUGCUUUACUAUCUCUUAACAAACAGAUUCAUAGAAGUGGUCAACAUAUCCAAAAUAAGAAUGGCCUCAUACUAGAAUGCAUAAGUUGACUACUGGAGUAGAGGUGUUGAGAGAUGUAGUGUCCAGAUGUAGCUCAAGUAAUAACUAAACAAAUAGUACUGGGCAACGAUGGACUCUUUCAAGGGAUGGCUAAUAGAUAGAUUGGAAACCCAAACUAUCAACUCCUUCCCUAUCUUCUAUUUUCCAGACAUGUAACAGUCCCUACCAUCAAAUCUAAGGUAGACACCUGACUACGUCUGGUUGGACUCAUGGGACACAAACAACAAAAUAUUAAAUAAUAGUUUACAGAUAAACAAUAAAAUGCAUCUGUAUUCAAAAGAUAAAGAAGCACGGGAAGUAUUUCCAAACGCAUAUAUUAAGUGUUAUUAUAAUUUGUUCAGUAUCCCGUUAAAAAACAAACAGAUUCACAACAUGCGAUCCACUAUGUCCAAAAUAAGGAUGACCUUCAUACUUGAAUGUAUAGAUUGGCUGCAUAUAUAAAGAGGUGUUGAGAGAUGUAAUGUCCAGAUGUAGCUCAAGUAAUAACAGAACACAUAGUACUGGGCAACGAUGGACUCCUUCAAGGGAUGUACAACAGAUAGAAUGGAAACCCAAACCAUCAACUACUUCCCUAUCUUUUAUUUUCCAGACAUGUAACAGUCCCUACAACCAUAUCAAAGGUAGACACCUGACUAUGUCUGGUUAGAAUCAUGGAACGCAAAUAACUAAAUAUUAAAUAACAGUUCAUAGACAAACAUCUAUAAAUGUAUCAAUAUUCAAAAUAAGUUGCUUUAAGAAUAGAGAGCAACUAAAUAUUGCUGCUAUUUUCUCCCCUAAACCACAUCACUAUCAUUUGCUUUACUAUCUCUUAGAACAGAUUCACAGGAGUGGUCCAUGUAUCCAAAAUAAGAACAGCUUCAUACUAGAAUGCAUAGAUUGACUACUGAAGUAGAGUUGUUGAGAGAUGUAGUGUCCAGAUGUAGCUCAAGUAAUAACCAAACAAAUAGUACUGGGCAACGAUGGACUCCUUCAAGGGAUGGCUAAUAGUUAGAUAGGAAACCCAAACCAUUGAUUCCUUCCCUAUCUUUCAUAUUCCAGACAUGUAACAGUCCCUACCAUCAUAUCAAAGGUAGACACCUGACUACGUCUGGUUAGACUCAUGGAACGCAAGCAAUUAAAUAUUAAAUACUUAUAACAGUUUCCAGAGGCUCGUAUAUCCAAAAAUAAAAAAGGAAUCAUACUUGAAUGUAUAGAUUAAUAACUGAACUAGAGUGUCGAGUGAUAUAGCCUCUAGGUGUAGCUCAAAUGAUAACUGAACACACAGUAUUGGACGCUAUAUCAUUUGAGAGGUGUUACCAAAGGCGCCAGGUGCACUUUAGACAAUAGAACCCUCCCUCAUAUUGUCAUAGGCAGAAGGCACAAAAGAAGCAGUCAUCAGACUGAAGUAAGAUGCAAUAUGUAUAUGUGGCUAUUUUAGCAUGGGUGUGCAUGUAUGUAUAAAUGUACGCUAUAUAUAUAUAUAUAUAUAUAUAUAUAAAAGACAGCUCAAACUAAUGUAUAUGAUUCAUUAAUGGCUAACCAAUCUAGCUUGCCUCUUGCAUUCAUUCACAUGUCAAAUCCAUUCAUAAAGUGUAUAUGAUUCGAUAAUAUUUCACUUUGGCCAAGAAAAAAUAAUAUUUAACACCUUCCUACUAGGAUCAGGGGUAAUCAUGUAUUAAAUCUGUGAUGUUGAAAAACAAUUAAAUUAGCCAAUGCCCUAACAGCAUAACCCUCAAAUCAUUCACAUGAUACCAUAAAUUAAACAAACAAAUAGAUACUUAUACUAAAACAAUGGGACAUAUCAUCAAGCAAAGGCACAUCAAUACAUGCAUAACAUUAAAAAAACACUAAAGGAAAAGCACAUUUGAUUGAAAGUAGAUAUAUCUUUCUCUAAUUUCCUCGAGGAAGUAAAAAAAAAAAAAGCAUUUCUCUUGUUCUUCUCGUUGAAUCCGCUGCAAACUCCAGCAGAUAAUAAGCAACAUGCUUUAAAAGGAACUCUAACAGGUGAAUAAAAGGGAGAGAUGAAACCGCCAUUGAAAGUUCAAACAUAAACAUACUAUAUUCAAAUAAGGUCUAUAUCAAGCUGAUCCUGUAAAUAAAAAUGAGAAAACAACAUAAGUAAUAACUAAACACCUAAUGCAGUAUCUAAAGCGAUCAAGAAUGGGAUGCAUAAAAAAUCCUUGUCUUGAUAAUAGUAAAUGGGUAUUUUGUAAUAUGAGAAAUGAUAAAAAAGAAAACAAAAAUUAUCUAAUAGUGGGAAACCAUAAGAAAUGAAGAAACUCCAAGGACACAGAGCGGUCCGUUGGUGGUUCGCACACCAUAGAGCGGAUGAGUGCUAACGGCUAGGUCUUAAGUCUAUACGAGAAAAGAGAAACCCUAAACUUCGAAUAUAUAGGCUAAGGCAGGC